UACGUAGGGUGCGAGCGUUGUCCGGAAUUACUGGGCGUAAAGGGCUCGUAGGUGGCCAACUAAGUCAGACGUGAAAUCCCUCAGCUUAACUGGGGAACUGCGUCUGAUACUGGAUGGCUUGAGUUCGGGAGAGGGAUGCGGAAUUCCAGGUGUAGCGGUGAAAUGCGCAGAUAUCAGGAAGAACACCCGUGGCGAAGGCGGCUCUCUGGAACGCAACUGACGCUGAGACGCGAAAGCGUGGGGAGCAAACAGG
rnacentral:rRNA from 1 species